rfam:Nippostrongylus brasiliensis genome assembly, scaffold: NBR_scaffold0002470
GUCUCAGUAGCAUAGUGGUUAGUGCACAGCCCCUGAAGGGUUGAGACGCGGGUUCGAAUCCGGCCUGAGAUG